CUUGCACCUGAUGGCGAGUGGCGAACGGGUGAGUAAUGGCAUCGGAACGUGCCCAAUCGCGGGGAUAACGCAGCGAAAGCUAGUGCUAAUACCGCAUACGAUCUACGGAUGAAAGCGGGGACCUUCGGGCCUCGCGCGAUUGGAGCGGCCGAUGUUAGAUUAGGUAGUUGGUGGGGUAAAGGGCUCACCAAGCCGACGAUCUAUAGCUGGUCUGAGAGGACGACCAGCCAUACUGGAACUGAGAUACGGCCCAGACUCC
rnacentral:rRNA from 1 species